UACGUAGGGUGCAAGCGUUAAUCGGAAUUACUGGGCGUAAAGCGUGCGCAGGCGGUUUUGUAAGACUGUCGUGAAAUCCCCGGGCUUAACCUGGGAAUGGCGAUGGUGACUGCAAGGUUAGAGUUUGGCAGAGGGGGGUAGAAUUCCACGUGUAGCAGUGAAAUGCGUAGAGAUGUGGAGGAACACCGAUGGCGAAGGCAGCCCCCUGGGUCAAAACUGACGCUCAUGCACGAAAGCGUGGGGAGCAAACAGG
rnacentral:rRNA from 1 species